UUGCAGCGGCUGCUCAAGGAGGCAGCAGCAGCCACGACGGCGGUUGAUCCCGAAGGCGGUGGCUAUGACCUGCAGUGGUGGCGGCUGCUCCCGAAGGUGGUGGCUGCGACCUGCUGCGGCAACGGUGGCGGCGGCGGCGGCGACUCCCAAAGACAAUGGAUCCACCAAUCCCGGCCCCAAGCGACGACUGUGACAGGCGGCGGCGGCAGCUGUUGGUGUUGCAAGCGGCGGGCGGCGGUGCUUGUUCUGUCAGUAUUCUUUUUCUUGUGCUCGAGCCAACCUUGUGUUGUUUCUUGGUUCAGAGAUGGGUUGGUGGCUUGGUUGCUCACGAAUUGUUUCUUCUUGUGGCCUCAGGGUGAGGAGUAUGGAGGUUCUUGA
rnacentral:lncRNA from 1 species